UACGUAGGGGGCUAGCGUUGUCCGGAUUUAUUGGGCGUAAAGAGCUCGUAGGCGGUUCGGUAAGUCGGGUGUGAAAUCUCCACGCUCAACGUGGAGGGGCCACCCGAUACUGCCAUGACUCGAGUCCGGUAGGGGAGUGUGGAAUUCCCGGUGUAGCGGUGAAAUGCGCAGAUAUCGGGAGGAACACCAGUGGCGAAGGCGGUUCACUGGACCGGUUCUGACGCUGAGGCGCGAAAGCGUGGGGAGCAAACGGG
rnacentral:rRNA from 1 species